UCAAAAUUUGAUGAGAAGUGUUCCAUGUUACGCUCUACUGUGCAGGAAGCCACUGUAGCCCCUGACUGUUAUCUUUCUCUGUCAGGUCCCCUGAUGUUCUUCUGGGCCUUCCAAUCUACUGCGCAGCAGGCAUAUGUGGUCUGUGGGCCUGUUCUGUCCACCAUGUUCCUCGGCAGCACGCUGUUCCCUCAGAGGUGUUAAUAUCACCUGAUGAAAACUCUGGUGGAGACUCUGGGUUAGCUGGAGAAUGAGCUGCUGAGUGAAGGCACCAACACCCAGCUCUACUUUACCUCCACAGAGAACACAUGGACACUGAAGACACCUGAAGAGUACAAAGUCAUGACCGGUUUACCGCCUCAGAUUCUGAGACGUUACUCAAGCAGGUUCAACAGUCUGUUUGAGCUGUUGAAGCUGUAUCCAGAUGUGGAGACUGAUGAUGGCAAACAGAAGUUUGUCAGCCUCCGGGUGAAGAUGCUGCACCUGAAUCCUCAGUAACGAAUCUCACCAAGCGUUGCUCUGAAGCACUCGUUUCUGACCCUCAGCAACGAGGACAACAGUGACAGCAGCUCUCAUGACUUGGUCUCAGCUCUCUCUAUGAGCGUCCCUCCAGUGGUCCAAUCAUCAGAGGAAGGCAGCGCCUCAGCAAACACACACUCAGCUGUUGGCUUGCUCAGCCGUUGAAAAUGUUCCUGCUGUUUGCUGUAAACAUGAAGCCACCUCCUCUUCAGAUGACGCUGGCAGAAAUGGCACCAUUCCUGCUUCUGCUGAGGCCUCAGAGAGCUCUGCCAUACCUGACAAUCAGACAGCCUCUGCAGAAGAAGGUCCAAAGGAGUCUGCAACAGCAGAUCUGAAUGAGGCUGCGCUCACCUCUACUUCGACCGUCAUUGUUCAGACUGACCUGUAUGACGCCGGUCCAGCAGAAACUCCCACUGCUGCUGAACGUACUGAUGAAGUCGUUUCAUUUACCCUUUCAAAAAUAAACAAAAAUAAUCAACCGUAUUAAAUGUCCUGAGUGAUCUGAUGAUCAGGUGGAAAAGCAGUCACAGUAUCAGCAGUGGUUUGAACUUCAGAAUUAAAAGUCAUGUUGUAGUUUAAGCAGCAGUUUAAGGUGACAGAAACAUUAGAUGUAGCAUUUUGUUUAAGCAGUUUGAUUUAUUAAUCUUUGUCAUCAGGGAAUGAAUGCAUUAAAAAUAGAGAAAUGGUAAAGUAUGUAACACACAAGCGAUUCCAGGAAAUCCUCAACAACUUCAAGUCCUGGAUCCAAUCUGAAGAGUCGAGAAGUAACCCGCUGCUCAAGAAUAUGUUUUUCUUUUUGUUUAGUUUUAGGACUGUGUGCAAUAUUCCAAUAUCCUGUGCAGUAUUAUUUUAUUACUUGAGCAUCAUUGUCAGUAUUAUGUCUUACUUUUUUAUUCUACUAUUAUUUAUGUCUAUUUCCUUUUAUUUUUAUUGCAGUAGAAUAGCAGUACUUAUACCGUACUGCUAUUCUAAUAGGGACUGCAUUUAUUCUUGUAUUAUUGUAAAUAUUUUCUCAAGAGGUCCUGAAGAGAAAAGCCUGAUUUUUCUUUUUUGUUUUUCUUUAUUUAUAUAGCUUGUUCAUUCUGUGUAUUUUUCAAAAAAAUAUCCAUGAAACUGAAAAUAUAAACAGUCAACUGGCAUCUCUAAUGUAGAAUAACAUUAAACCUAUAACCAAUAACCCUGAAAAUAUUUUUUAAGCAACAAGACUUGAAUUUGUUCCAUAUUCAGAAAGAUUCACUAUUUUAAAUCUGUAAAACUGUUCAAUUCAAGUUUAUUACUGUACAUGUAUUCCUAAAAUUUGAUGCAAUUAACAGAAAAAGACUUAGAUAUUGCAGCUUAACAUCAGAUUUGUUUGUUAGAAAGAGAUAUGUUGUAUAUUUACAAAAGUUUUCACAACAGAUUUGUUUAAUGAAUGUGUUUUCAUCAGUGUAUAAUAUCUAUAAGCACUGGUCAUCUGUCAAAA